GGAAGGACAGUAGCUCAGCAGUAGAACACUGGCAUGCAGAAGGUCCCAGGUUCAAUUCCUGGUGUUUCCA
rnacentral:tRNA from 1 species